rnacentral:tRNA from 1 species
AGGCCCAUUAGUUUAGUGGUUAUGACGUUGGAUUUUGAUUACUCACGAUCAAGGUCUUCCAAAGACGCCAGUUCGAAUCUGGCAUGGGCCUAC